rnacentral:rRNA from 1 species
AUUGAACGCUGGCGGCAGGCCUAACACAUGCAAGUCGAACGCGUGGCGGACGGGUGAGUAAUGUCUGGGAAACUGCCUGAUGGAGGGGGAUCACUACUGGAAACGGUAGCUAAUACCGCAUACCAACGGAUGUGCCCAGAUGGGAGUAGCUAGUAGGUGGGGAAAAGUCUCCCCUAGGCGACGAUCCCUAGCUGGUCUGAGAGGAUGACCGGCCACACUGGAACUGAGACACGGUCCAGACUCCUACGGGAGGCAGCAGUGGGGAAUAUUGCACAAUGGGCGCAAGCCUGAUGCAGCCAUGCCGCGUGUAUGAAGAAGGCCUUCGGGUUGUAAAGUACUUUCAGCGGGGAGGCGUUACCCGCAGAAGAAGCACCGGCUAACUCCGUGCCAGCCGCCGCGGUAAUUC